GCUGAAUCAGCUAUAGCAACAACAAAGCCGGGAGAGGAUACAGAGCCCAAAAGAUGUGCAGACCAGACCUAAUUCUGAUUUUGCUGUUGCUGGUGAUCUCAGCUGGCCAUGCUCACGAAAUUGAGAUACAUAACUGGAGGUGUGGCUACAAAGGACUUUGUAGGCGUCUGUGCUUCACCCGAGAGCACAAUGCAGGUUAUCAUGGCUGUCCUAACAGAUACAAAUGCUGUGCUGUUCGAUUCAAGCAAAUACCAAAAAAUACUGUGUGACAGAAAAUCAAAUCCUGAAACAAAAUGAAAAGUAAGGAUUUGCGAAGAUUUUGGUCCACAAUGUUUUUGCAAAUAUAAAGAACAUCACUGUAAGACGUACUCUUCUGUCUUUCUAAUCUUUACCCAACAACUUAAAAAUAAACAUGACAGUUAUGUAAAUGUAAAAAAUAGAGCAUGAGAAGAGUAGAAUUACAACACUAUGUAGGGAAUAAAACAGUAAGGAGCAUGCUAUAAUAAGAAAAUAAUUAACAGUCAGUUGAUAUUAUAGUCUCUAACACACAGCGUGUUAUUCCAGUUCAACCCUGAAGAUAAUUAUUUGCCAGUAAUUUCAUCUAGUCACCCCUACACAUUCUUUUGUAUUUAAUUGUAGCUUGUUUUUGAGAAAUUACAAAAACACAAUAUCCACCGUAUUUAAAUAUAUUUUCUAUAUGUUUUUAACUGUUUAAUGUUAGUGAUAAAUGAUGUGCAUUGUCCACUAUACAGUACAAAGGUGUGUGGAAGUUUUCUGUAUAGAAAAGAUUUUUCUUUUUUCAAGAUUUUUCAACAUUUUUGAAUGAUUAUUGAUUGUAAACAUCACUACUCUCAGAUUACAAUGGCAAUGCUGUCAGAACACUU